AAAUACAGAUUCAUCAAUCUCUCAGCCUCAAUUUCCAAGUCCCUCGAUUCCAAUCGCCGAUUCAAUCCUGUAGGUGAGUGUCGAACUAAUCCUAAACUUGCUGAUUCCAUACUCGCAUGAAUCAUAAAUUGAUAAUCUGUUAAUUUAGGGUUGCUGGUUAUAAUUGUUGGUGAUUAUAAUUAUUGCUGGUUAUAAUUGUUGGUGAUUAUAAUUGUUGCUGGUUAUUUGGUUAUCUGCUGGGCUGGAGGUGUUGCUGAUGGGAAUAUGGAGGUGUUGCUGCUGCUGGAAUAUGGAGGUGUUGCUGCUGCUGUUUAUUACUUCAUUUGGUUGUUUUUGUUUUAAGGAUGAUGAUUUGGUUGUUUCCUGAUUGUGUGUCGGAUGAUACAUUGGUUGUUUUUAACACCGUUGAUACUUGAUUCUUGGUUUUAUUUCAAGUUCUGCGAUUUCUGCAAUUCUUAACACAGCAG
rnacentral:lncRNA from 1 species